rnacentral:rRNA from 1 species
UACGUAGGGUGCAAGCGUUAAUCGGAAUUACUGGGCGUAAAGCGUGCGCAGGCGGUUAUGUAAGUCAGGUGUGAAAUCCCCGGGCUUAACCUGGGAACUGCAUUUGUGACUGCAUAGCUAGAGUACGGUAGAGGGGGAUGGAAUUCCGCGUGUAGCAGUGAAAUGCGUAGAUAUGCGGAGGAACACCGAUGGCGAAGGCAAUCCCCUGGACCUGUACUGACGCUCAUGCACGAAAGCGUGGGGAGCAAACAGG